UGGCUGUGUGACUGCGUGUGAAUGAGCGAAGGAAGGGAAAAGAGAAAACCACGUUUACUCAUCACAACAUCAUCUCCCUUCUCAAGCGCACGACCGUAACUCGGGCUAAAUCGGGUUUUCUUUUCCUAUACGAACUUAACGGAGCAUUUUUGCGGUUAUUAUCAUCUGUUCUGACCCAAUUGUGCAAACUUGCGGCCGCCCGAGCGCUUUUCGUGCAGUCUCGAAAUUGUUUUUCCGAUGCCCAAACUCGAUUUCCGCCUUAAGAUUUUCAUCUUAGAAUAAUAAUAAUAACAGAAAUUGUGGUUGCCGAAAAUUGAAAGAAGCAAGUAUUGUGGACAUGUAACGAUCAUUUGUUUUUUUAUACCACCAAAUAUACUUUCAAAUCUUACAACAAACCAGUGGAAAGUAAAGAGACUGUUUCAACAGCAGAAAUGGAAUUUUCAGUGGAUUAUUCGCUUAAUUCUUGGAACUGGAAUCGAAGAUAUUAUCUGAUAUCACGAACUUUUGUGUGCUUUUGGUUACUGAUGACUUAUACUUCAGGUAUUACAGCCAAACAGAUAAAUGCUGCAAAGCUUCCCAUGAAACCACCAGUUUACCCCAAGCCCUCCUAUUCAUUCUCAAAGAGCUCUGGACUGUCCAUCGUUCAACCGGCGGCUUUGCUAAAUGGAAAGCAGUUUGUUGUUGAACCGGUAACUACUCGCAAUGUCACUACUCAAGUUGGGCAAACAACCUACCUCCACUGCAUUGUAGAUAAGCUUGAAGAUAAAACGGUGGGUGGUCUGCAGCGGCAGGUAUCUUGGUUGCGGCUCAAGGAUUUUCAUUUACUCACGGUAGGUUUAUACACCUAUACUAGUGACACAAGAUUUCAGACAAUAUAUAAUGAAUACGCCACGGAUUGGACUUUACAAAUCAGAUACCCUCAACUUUCUGACGAAGGAUUGUAUGAAUGUCAAGUUAGCUCUGACCCACCGAUCAGCCAUUAUGUAUAUUUAAAAGUCAUAGUUCCGAAAACGAAGAUAUUGGGCAGCGGCAAUUUCUACGUGAGUGUCGGCAGUGAGAUCAACUUGACUUGCGUGAUCACAGAUUGUCCAGAGCCUCCAGCCUACGUUUUCUGGUACCACGACUCACGGAUGAUAAAUUUCGACCCUGGCAGGAUAAACAUUGCUCUUCAGAAGGCCGGAAACAACACUGCUAUCAGUCGCCUGCGAAUUAGGAACGCAGAAGCUUCCGACUCGGGAAACUAUUCCUGCAGUCCAUCGAAUGCCGAUGUGGCCAGCAUCUUUGUCCAUGUCCUCAAAGGGGAGAAACACGCUGCUGUGCAGAACGACGCAGCCUCCACCUCAAGUUCCUCUCGCUUUGUAUCUUCCUUCAACACAAUGGUAGCGUUCCAAUUUGUCGUCCUUUUCACAGUCACGGCUUCAAGGUCGAGGUGACACUCAUUUCAAAUAAAGAACUUCAUUGCGUCUUAUGAAAGAGAUCAGACAUCCUAUUGUACAUUUUGCGUUGAUUUAUGUCUUUUGUGCACCUUAAGUUUUUGUAUUUCAUUGUUUUAUCUGUAAAAAGAAAUCUCAGGAAUGAUUUUUGUGAUCGACGCAAUGUGUGUACGUUGUCCUUCUAAUUUUUAACCUCACAGCAGAGAUAGAACCAUUGCGGUAUUGAAUCGUUGUUUUCCAUAUUGUUAAUAUAAUUUCAUACUGUCAUUUUGCAUCCAAUUUUGUAGGCGUAGUUUUAUUCCUUGUUCAUAUUUCAUUUCAUAUUUGUCAUAAAUUAUUUAUUUCUUACAUAGUUUCCUCACGAAGCAAUACAAAGUUUUUUUAGUGCCACUUUUAGUUUUUAUUAGCAAUAUUUUUUUUGUUUGUUUGUUGAAAGACAUGUACAUACAUGGUAUAGCUGGUUUAAUGUUACUUGGCAUAAACUCUUUUUUGAUUAUUUAGUCAUAUGUUUUUAUACAAGAAUGUACAAAUAUAAUUUAUUAUACUAUGCAAUCUAUAGUACCAACUUGCAAAGCUGUGAGCUUUUUACAAUGUACAAUAGUAAUUCUGAAACUAUACGAAUUAUAAAUGCACAUAUUGAAUAAGUAUUUGACAUUUUUGAUAAUUUCAGUUUAGUAAUGCCUUCUUUAUAUUUUGUAUGAUAUAAUGGAAAAGAAUUACAACUAUAUAUUGUGUCAUUCCAUUUAACCUAAAUCAUUUGUUUUUGCAGUUAAUAAUCCUACAAAUAUAAUAACAAACUGUAUUUUCCAAAUAUCUAAUUAAUAUUAAUUUCUGACCAGUAUCUUUAAGAGAAUAAAGAAUUCAAAUGUCCAGAGUCAAAUAUAGUGAAAUAGUCAAAUGCUCAGAAAAAUUCUAAAUUUAAUGCUGUGAAAGCUAUAUUUUGAAAGCAAAGCAGUUUUUAUCAAUAUUUGAUACUAUACAUAUAAAUAAAAUUAUGUUUUAAAAAUAUUUUAUCGAGAAUCAUUGAUUUAAAUCACUAUAUUCUUUUAUGGAUUAGCUAUCAAAAAUAUAUUUCUCUCAAAAUUGUAUCUCAAUUCUCAAUUUUAACUAUAUUUUAGGAUAUUAGUACUAUAUGGAUGUGCUGUUGACAAUCAAAGUAUACUUGAAAAUGUGUUUUACAUUUUUUAUACGUCAGUCACUGCUUUAUAUUUUAUUAUCUAGCAAAAUAUACAUGCAAAUGUUUUCAUAAUAGAACAAGCAAUGUACAAACUUCACAAAUAUUGUAAAAUGUCAAACAUUUUGCAUGGAUUAUUUUAAGUUCCUUCUCAGAUGUUUGUUUUGAUAAUUUUGUCAUUUUUAGUGUCAUUUAUAUCGAUGUCACCGUUUUCCAUGUUGCUCUCUGCUUCCUGUCUUUAUGUAUUUUCUGC